rnacentral:rRNA from 1 species
GACGAACGCUGGCGGUGUGCUUAACACAUGCAAGUCGAACGGUAAGGCCCUUUCGGGGGUACACGAGUGGCGAACGGGUGAGUAACACGUGAGUAACCUGCCCUCAUCUCUGGGAUAACAGUCGGAAACGGUUGCUAAUACUGGAUAUGAGCUUGCAAGGCAUCUUGUGGGUUGGAAAGAUUUUUUUGGUUGGGGAUGGACUCGCGGCCUAUCAGCUUGUUGGUGAGGUAGUGGCUCACCAAGGCUUCGACGGGUAGCCGGCCUGAGAGGGCGACCGGCCACAUUGGGACUGAGAUACGGCCCAAACUCCUACGGGAGGCAGCAGUGGGGAAUAUUGCACAAUGGACGGAAGGCUGAUGCAGCAACGCCGCGUGCGGGAUGACAGCCUUCGGGUUGUAAACCGCUUUCGAUUGUGACGAAGCUUUUUGUGACGGUAGCAGUAGAAGAAGCACCGGCUAACUACGUG